rnacentral:rRNA from 1 species
AGAGUUUGAUCCUGGCUCAGGACGAACGCUGGCGGUGCGCCUUAUGCAUGCAAGUCGAGCGAAGCUUUUCAGUAGUUUACUACAGAAAAUGACUGAGCGGCGAACGGGUGAGUAACGCGUGAGCAAUCUACCUUAGUUACAGGGAUAGCCCGAGGAAACUCGGAUUAAUACCUGAUAUUCUUUAUAUUUCGCAUGAAAUUAAAAGGAAAGGUCAGCCGAACUAAGAUGAGCUCGCGUUCUAUCAGCUAGUUGGUGAGGUAAAAGCUUACCAAGGCUACGACGGAUAGCUGGUCUGAGAGGACGAUCAGCCACACUGGGACUGAGACACGGCCCAGACUCCUACGGGAGGCUGCAGCAGGGAAUAUUGCGCAAUGAGCGAAAGCUUGACGCAGCGACACCGCGUGUGGGAUGACGGAUCUAGGUUUGUAAACCACUUUCAGGAGGGAAGAAAAUGACGGUACCUCCACAAGAAGCCCCGGCCAACUACGUGCCAGCAGCCGCGGUAAUACGUAGGGGGCGAGCGUUGUCCGGAUUUAUUGGGCGUAAAGAGCUCGUAGGCGGUUCAACAAGUCGGUCGUGAAAGUUCAGGGCUCAACCCUGAAAUGUCGAUCGAUACUGUUGUGACUAGGAUACGGUAGAGGUGAGUGGAAUUCCGAGUGUAGCGGUGAAAUGCGUAGAUAUUCGGAGGAACACCAAUUGCGAAGGCAGCUCACUGGGCCGCUAUCGACGCUGAGGAGCGAAAGCUAGGGGAGCAAACAGGAUUAGAUACCCUGGUAGUCCUAGCUGUAAACGAUGGAUACUAGACGUAGGAACUGGAUUGACGGUUUCUGUGUCGCAGCUAACGCGUUAAGUAUCCCGCCUGGGGGAGUACGGUCGCAAGACUAAAACUCAAAGGAAUUGACGG